UACGAAGGGGGCUAGCGUUGCUCGGAAUCACUGGGCGUAAAGCGCACGUAGGCGGCUUCUUAAGUCAGGGGUGAAAUCCUGGAGCUCAACUCCAGAACUGCCUCUGAUACUGAGGAGCUCGAGUCCGGGAGAGGUGAGCGGAACUCCGAGUGUAGAGGUGAAAUUCGUAGAUAUUCGGAAGAACACCAGUGGCGAAGGCGGCUCACUGGCCCGGUACUGACGCUGAGGUGCGAAAGCGUGGGGAGCAAACAGG
rnacentral:rRNA from 1 species